AAAUCCGAAUAUCUUCAUGAACUUCAGAUUCGUACAAAGUGGCAAACUGACCGUCGUAAUCUACAAGUUGGUGACUUAAUUCUCAUGAAAGAUCAGGAUGCGCCACGUAAUUCAUGGCCCGUAGGACUUGUGGACAGGGUAUUUCCAAGCUCGGAUGGCAAAAUUCGUAAAGUGGAAGUCGCCAUCGUCAAAGACGGAAAGCGCACAACUUAUUCCAGACCAAUUACCGAAUUGGUUACUCUCCUUGAAGCUGACUGACUAUAAUAGUGACAUUGUGUUUUAUUCAAUCACAUUUAAUACACGAACAAUUAGUAUAACAUUGUUAGGGAAACACAUGUUAAUUUGUCAUAUGACAUUAUCUUUUAAUUUUGAAAAUGUAGUGAUUUCAUAAAGAAAUCAGAGGAGGAGUGUACUGUUUUGAUUAAGUGCCGAAUUGACCAUGUCGUCCCUUUCUUAUCAUUUCAUUCCCCAGUCUCUUCAAUCCCUCGAUUAUUGUCAAAACUGAAACACGUUGUUUUUCUACUUGGAAGUUUUAUCCACCACUAGAUUUUUCACCCUCUCCGGGGGUCUGUAUACCAAUAAACUGUUGAUCUCUCAA